rnacentral:rRNA from 1 species
GACGAACGCUGGCGGCGUGCUUAACACAUGCAAGUCGAACGGGCCCGCUCUCUUUUUUGGGGGUGGGUUGAGUGGCGAACGGGUGAGUAUCACGUGAGUAACCUGCCCCCUGCUCCUGGAUAACUGCUUGAAAGGGCGGCUAAUACGGGGUGUGCCGGCUGGUCCGCAUGGGCCUGGUCGGGAUAGUUUCAUCUUCGGGUGUUUCGGUGGGGGAUGGGCUCGCGGCCUAUCAGCUUGUUGGUGGGGGGAUGGCCCACCCAGGCGGUGGCGGGUAGCCGGCCUGGGAGGGUGGGCGGCCACAAUGGGACUGAGGCCCGGCCCAGACUCCUGCGGGAGGCAGCAGUGGGGGGUAUUGCACGAUGGGCGGAAGCCUGAUGCAGGGACGUCGGGUGAGGGAUGGAGGCCUUCGGGUUGUGAACCUCUUUCUCCGGGGGUGAAGGCCCUGUCCGUUGCGGCGGGGUUGACGGUAGCCGGGGAUGAAGCGCCGGCUAACUACGUG